rnacentral:rRNA from 1 species
AUACGUAGGGGGCGAGCGUUGUCCGGAAUGAUUGGGCGUAAAGGGCGCGUAGGCGGCCCGGUAAGUCUGGAGUGAAAGUCCUGCUUUUAAGGUGGGAAUUGCUUUGGAUACUGUCGGGCUUGAGUGCAGGAGAGGUAAGUGGAAUUCCCAGUGUAGCGGUGAAAUGCGUAGAGAUUGGGAGGAACACCAGUGGCGAAGGCGACUUACUGGACUGUAACUGACGCUGAGGCGCGAAAGUGUGGGGAGCAAACAGGAUUAGAUACCCUGGUAGUCCACACUGUGAACGAUGAAUGCUAGGUGUAGGGGGUAUCGACCCCUUCUGUGCCGCAGUUAACACAAUAAGCAUUCCGCCUGGGGAGUACGGCCGCAAGGUUGAAACUUAAAGGAAUUGACGGGG